AGCGAACGCUGGCGGCAGGCCUAACACAUGCAAGUCGAACGAACCUUUCGGGGUUAGUGGCGGACGGGUGAGUAACACGUGGGAACGUGCCUUUAGGUUCGGAAUAACACAGGGAAACUUGUGCUAAUACCGAAUGUGCCCUGCGGGUGAAAGAUUUAUCGCCUUUAGAGCGGCCCGCGUCUGAUUAGCUAGUUGGUUGAGGUAAUGGCUCACCAAGGCGACGAUCAGUAGCUGGUCUGAGAGGAUGAUCAGCAACAUUGGGACUGAGACACGGCCCAAACUCCUGCGGGAGGCAGCAGUGGGGAAUCUUGCGCACUGGGCGAGAGCCUGACGCAGCCAUGCCGUGUGAAUGAUGAAGGUCUUAGGAUUGUAAAAUUCUUUCACCGGGGACGAUAAUGACGGUACCCGGAGAAGAAGCCCCGGCUAACUUCGU
rnacentral:rRNA from 1 species